rnacentral:rRNA from 1 species
UGGGGAAUAUUGGACAAUGGGGGAAACCCUGAUCCAGCGACGCCGCGUGUGUGAAGAAGGCCUGCGGGUUGUAAAGCACUUUUAGUGGGGAUGAAAUGUGCAGGGUUAAUACCUCUGCAUUUUGACCUAACCCACAGAAAAAGCACCGGCUAACUCUGUGCCAGCAGCCGCGGUAAUACAGAGGGUGCAAGCGUUAAUCGGAAUUACUGGGCGUAAAGCGUGCGUAGACGGUUACAUAAGUCGGGUGUGAAAGCCCCGGGCUCAACCUGGGAAUUGCAUUCGAGACUGCGUAGCUAGGGUGCGGAAGAGGGAAGCGGAAUUUCCGGUGUAGCGGUGAAAUGCGUAGAUAUCGGAAGGAACACCAGUGGCGAAAGCGGCUUCCUGGUCCAGCACCGACGUUCAGGCACGAAAGCGUGGGGAGCAAACA